rnacentral:piRNA from 1 species
UAACACAUGUAUUGAUUCGCCUU